rnacentral:rRNA from 1 species
UACGAAGGGGGCGAGCGUUGUUCGGAUUUACUGGGCGUAAAGGGCGCGCAGGCGGCUAUCCAAGUCAGGCGUGAAAGCCCCGGGCUUAACCUGGGAGGUGCGUCUGGGACUGGGUGGCUAGAGUUCGGGAGAGGAGAGUGGAAUUCCCAGUGUAGAGGUGAAAUUCGUAGAGAUGUGGAGGAACACCAGUGGCGAAGGCGACUCUUUGGUCUGUAACUGACGCUGAGGCGCGAAAGCGUGGGGAGCAAACAGG